UACGGAGGGGGCUAGCGUUGUUCGGAAUUACUGGGCGUAAAGCGCGCGUAGGCGGAUCUGCAAGUCGGGGGUGAAAUCCCGAGGCUCAACCUCGGAACUGCCUUCGAUACUGCGGGUCUCGAGUCCGGGAGAGGUGAGUGGAAUUCCGGGGUGUAGUGGUGGAAUACGUAGAUAUCCGGAGGAACACCAGCGGCGAAGGCGGCUUUCUGGUCCGAUACUGACGCUGAGGUGCGAAAGCGUGGGGAGCAAACAGGG
rnacentral:rRNA from 1 species